rnacentral:snRNA from 1 species
AGCUUUGCGCAGCGGCAGUAUCGUAGCCAAAGAGGUUUAUCCAAGGCACGAUUAUUGCUAAUUAAAAACUUUUCCCAAUACCCCGCCAUGACAACUUGAAAUAUAGGCAGCAUUGGCAAUUUUUGACAAUUAUAUAUAA